ACAUAGUACUAGAGCCGUUUUACGCAAUCGAAUACCGCCGGAAGUAGAACAUUUAUGUCAACACCGGUUUCGUAUUUCACGUGAAAACAGCUGAAAACUGAGAGGUUAUCAACAAAUUAUUAAGUUACGGGUACCAUGGGGAUUUUUCAUGCAUUUGAACGACAGAAGUACAAGCCAACAAAUGACACAUUACAGUGGCUGCAGAAGCUUGAAAAGUUACUUAGAGCAGGGGCAGUCAGAACAAUGGGAUAAUGCUUCUAAUAGGUGUCCUACAUGUCUAAUCAGGUUGACAGAAGUGGAAGAUGGUCUAGUGGUACAAUGAUGUACAGAUGAAAAUCUUUAAUAAGUUUAACAUGUAGAAAGAAAUGUAAUGCCAGUUAUUAAAAUUACAUUCCCCUAAGCAUUUAACAGAUACACAGUGUAAAUGUAAUUAAAAUGAUUUUAUGUAAGUUUCAUGUAGGAUUGUACAGCAACCAUUUUGAAUUAAGAACUUUUGAUUUAGGUAAAGAUAUCUAUUCAGACUUCUUAAAUCUUAGCCCUUCAGAUGAUACAGGGAUAAAAGGUCUACUAUUGCCAGCCACUGUCCAUGUUUCAAAGUUUUUAAACACACAAUAGCAAUAACCAUUUUGUUAAAAUAUCUUGUUAAUGCAAUGUUUUCUUGAUAUCUGUCACUUGAUGUUUUCAAUGGAUAAAAGUCCUAAUUUAAUGUAAAGUCUGUAUUUUUCAGUAAUUGAAGUACAGAAUUUGUAGGAAGUUGUUUCUUUAUUUCAGUGUAAAAUGUUCUGUGGAUUCAUAUGAUGAGAAUGCCAGUGUUGAUCUGUAUGGUUUAAUUAAACACAGAUAUUGAUACCUUCAGAUAUCCCUUUGAAAUCUUCAGUGUCACCAUUCAGCUAUAGUUCAAGAUCAGUGUCUGAAACAACUUGCACAGUUUAGUAUAGAGGAGCCUACUGGAUCAAUUUUGUUACAUAUUUACUGUUAUUGUAGGACACACAUGUAGAGAGCAGCAAGUCCUGUACAGCCGUGCAUGUAAAUGUGAUUCAGAAACUCUGAGAAUUAUGUAAACAUUACACUGUUAUAAUUUUCAAAAUACUAUGUCUUGUAGUGUAUCAAUACUGUUUUGUCUCAGUUUAUAGCACAGUAUGUU
rnacentral:lncRNA from 1 species